rnacentral:rRNA from 1 species
CCCUUAGAUGUUCUGGGCCGCACGCGCGCUACACUGACGAAGUCAGCGAGCAUGUCCUACGCCGACAGGUGCGGGGAAUCUUGUCAAACUUCGUCGUGAUGGGGAUUGAUUAUUGAAAUUCUUGAUCAUCAACGAGGAAUUCCUAGUAAGCGCAAGUCAGCAGCUUGCGUUGAUUACGUCCCUGCCCUUUGUACACACCGCCCGUCGCUACUACCGAUUGAAUGGUUUAGUGAGAUCUUCGGAUUGGCGCCACUGCGGCUCAGCAAUGGGCUCGGUGGAUGCCGAAAAGUUGAUCAAACUCGAUCAUUUAGAGGAAGUAAAAGUCGUAACA